rnacentral:rRNA from 2 species
AGAGUUUGAUCUUGGUUCAGAUUGAACGCUGGUGGCAUGCUUAACACAUGCAAGUCGAACGGUAACAGGUCUUCGGAUGCUGACGAGUGGCGGACGGGUGAGUAACGCGUAGGAAUCUGCCCAUCUGUGGGGGAUACCAGUUGGAAACGACUGUUAAUACCGCAUAAUAUCUGCGGAUUAAAGGUGGCCUUUGCGCUGCCGCAGAUGGAUGAGCCUGCGUUGGAUUAGCUAGUUGGUGGGGUAAGGGCCUACCAAGGCUACGAUCCAUAGCUGAUUUGAGAGGAUGAUCAGCCACAUUGGGACUGAGACACGGCCCAAACUCCUACGGGAGGCAGCAGUGGGGAAUAUUGGACAAUGGGGGAAACCCUGAUCCAGCAAUGCCAUGUGUGUGAAGAAGGCUCUAGGGUUGUAAAGCACUUUAGUUGGGGAGGAAAGCCUGUGAGUUAAUAGCUUGCAGGAAGGACGUUGCCCAAAGAAUAAGGACCGGCUAACUCCGUGCCAGCAGCCGCGGUAAUACGGGGGGUCCGAGCGUUAAUCGGAAUUACUGGGCGUAAAGGGUCUGUAGGUGGUUUGUUAAGUCAGAUGUGAAAGCCCAGGGCUCAACCUUGGAACUGCAUUUGAUACUGACAAACUAGAGUAUGGUAGAGGAAUAGGGAACUUCUGGUGUAGCGGUGAAAUGCGUAGAGAUCAGAAGGAACACCAAUGGCGAAGGCAACAUUCUGGACCAAUACUGACACUGAGGGACGAAAGCGUGGGGAUCAAACAGGAUUAGAUACCCUGGUAGUCCACGCUGUAAACGAUGAGUACUAGCUGUUGGAUUCGGUGUAAAGGAUCUAGUGGCGCAGCUAACGCGUUAAGUACUCCGCCUGGGGACUACGGCCGCAAGGCUAAAACUCAAAGGAAUUGACGGGGACCCGCACAAGCGGUGGAGCAUGUGGUUUAAUUCGAUGCAACGCGAAGAACCUUACCUGGUCUUGACAUCCUGCGGACUUUCUAGAGAUAGAUUGGUGCCUUCGGGAACGCAGUGACAGGUGCUGCACGGCUGUCGUCAGCUCGUGUUGUGAAAUGUUGGGUUAAGUCCCGCAACGAGCGCAACCCCUAUUGAUAGUUACCAUCAUUAAGUUGGGUACUCUAUUGAGACUGCCGCUGACAAGGCGGAGGAAGGUGGGGACGACGUCAAGUCAUCAUGGCCCUUACGACCAGGGCUACACACGUGCUACAAUGGGUAUUACAGAGGGCUGCGAAGGUGCGAGCUGGAGCGAAACUCAGAAAGGUACUCUUAGUCCGGAUUGCAGUCUGCAACUCGACUGCAUGAAGUCGGAAUCGCUAGUAAUCGCAGGUCAGAAUACUGCGGUGAAUACGUUCCCGGGUCUUGUACACACCGCCCGUCACACCAUGGGAGUGGGUUGCUCCAGAAGUAGAUAGCUUAACGAAUGGGCGUUUACCACGGAGUGAUUCAUAACUGGGGUGAAGUCGUAACAAGGUAGCCGUAGGGGAACCUGCGGCUGGAUCACCUCCUU